GGCGCGGUAGUUCAGUUGGUUAGACUGCCAGCCUGUCACGCUGGAGGUCGAGGGUUCGAGCCCCUUCCGCGUCGCCA
rnacentral:tRNA from 1 species